AGCGAACGCUGGCGGCAGGCUUAACACAUGCAAGUCGAGCGCCCCGCAAGGGGAGCGGCAGACGGGUGAGUAACGCGUGGGAACGUACCUUUUGGCUCGGAACAACACAGGGAAACUUGUGCUAAUACCGGAUAAGCCCUUACGGGGAAAGAUUUAUCGCCGAAAGAUCGGCCCGCGUCUGAUUAGCUUGUUGGUGAGGUAACGGCUCACCAAGGCGACGAUCAGUAGCUGGUCUGAGAGGAUGAUCAGCCACAUUGGGGCUGAGACACGGCCCAAACUCCUACGGGAGGCAGCAGUGGGGAAUAUUGGACAAUGGGGGCAACCCUGAUCCAGCCAUGCCGCGUGAGUGAUGAAGGCCCUAGGGUUGUAAAGCUCUUUUAACGGGGAAGAUAAUGACGGUACCCGUAGAAUAAGCCCCGGCUAACUUCGUGCCAGCCGCCGCCGUAAGAC
rnacentral:rRNA from 1 species